rnacentral:rRNA from 1 species
GGAGGGUGCAAGCGUUAUUCGGAAUCACUGGGCGUAAAGAGCGCGUAGGCGGGUUUCUAAAGUCAGAUGUGAAAGCCCGGGGGCUCAACCUCGGAAGUGCAUUUGAAACUUAGGGACUUGAGUAUGGGAGAGGGAAGUGGAAUUCCUGGUGUAGCGGUGAAAUGCGUAGAUAUCAGGAGGAACACCGGUGGCGAAGGCGACUUCCUGGACCAAUACUGACGCUGAGGCGCGAAGGCGUGGGGAGCAAACAGGAUUAGAUACCCUGGUAGUCCACGCAGUAAACGUUGAACACUAGGUGUAGCGGGUAUUGACCCCUGCUGUGCCGCAGCUAACGCAUUAAGUGUUCCGCCUGGGGAGUACGGCCGCAAGGCUA